GAUUAAAGAUUUAUCGGUGAUGGAUGGGGAUGCGUCUGAUUAGCUUGUUGGCGGGGUAACGGCCCACCAAGGCGACGAUCAGUAGGGGUUCUGAGAGGAAGGUCCCCCACAUUGGAACUGAGACACGGUCCAAACUCCUACGGGAGGCAGCAGUGAGGAAUAUUGGUCAAUGGGCGAGAGCCUGAACCAGCCAAGUAGCGUGCAGGAUGACGGCCCUAUGGGUUGUAAACUGCUUUUAUAAGGGAAUAAAGUGAGAGUCGUGACUCUUUUUGCAUGUACCUUAUGAAUAAGGACCGGCUAAUUCCGUGCCAGCAGCCGCGGUAAUACGGAAGGUCCGGGCGUUAUCCGGAUUUAUUGGGUUUAAAGGGAGCGUAGGCCGGAGAUUAAGCGUGUUGUGAAAUGUAGACGCUCAACGUCUGCACUGCAGCGCGAACUGGUUUCCUUGAGUACGCACAAAGUGGGCGGAAUUCGUGGUGUAGCGGUGAAAUGCUUAGAUAUCACGAAGAACUCCGAUUGCGAAGGCAGCUCACUGGAGCGCAACUGACGCUGAAGCUCGAAAGUGCGGGUAUCGAACAGGAUUAGAUACCCUGGUAGUCCGCACGGUAAACGAUGGAUGCCCGCUGUUGGUCUGAAUAGGUCAGCGGCCAAGCGAAAGCAUUAAGCAUCCCACCUGGGGAGUAC
rnacentral:rRNA from 1 species